CACUUGUUGAGCAUCAUGAGCGCCAGGCACAGCUGCUGGAUUAAACUCUUCCACCAGGUGUGUGUUUUAAAUUAACGUGUCGACAUGCCAGCCACAUGAACAAAAGAAACAACCUGCCGUUCCACUCCGAGCCAGAGCAGCAGAAAGAAAUGCAGCAAUUUUAAAUUGCAUGGAUAUGUCGUAAAUGAGAUGGUGAGCAGCGGCCAUGUUGGAUUACGACAACUGGACAAGAAUGAGAAGAGAACGAGAUCAGUCAACACCGGUGGCCGAGAUGAGCUGCUGCAGUCGGAUUUAUCAAGAGAGCGUGAGAUAAGAAGUAAGUGCUAAGCAAAGACGCGUGCACAAGUCCAUCCUUCAGAGGCUCAUGCAGCCCUCAGGUGGAGGAGAGCAUCUUCGACAUGCUCGUCACUUGCAUGGACUUGCUAAUUUGAAUUCCUUUUUAAAACUUUUUGCACUUUCUCUUCCCUUUAAACGCAUAUCUGCACUUACAUUUUGUAUUACUAUUUUUAUUUGUAUGUAAAGGGAGCAGGAUGUGAAUAUGUGAGAGACUUGCCUCUUUGUGUCCACGCUCCUACACUAUGAUAGAUAAUUGUUAUAUUAGUCGAAUAAUCGAACAGUAAUAUACAAUAGUCGAUAGAUUAAUCAAUUACGAAAAUAAGUUAGUUGCAGCCCUAGUCCCAAUACAGUGACAUAACAUGGAAAGUGUGAUUGAAUAUGAUGCCUAAUGUCUGUCACACCCCACUGAUUGUGGACAAUGAAUGUGUCCUGGCAUGAGUUUUUCAUUCUGUGAACCACAAAACCAGAUUACAUAACACAGAGAGCUCAGAAUCUAUUUUGCAUAUUAUUCCAAAAUUAGUUUUGUUUGCCUACCAACGUGCUUACACAAGAUUAUUGACUUCCACUCAACGAAACUUGUACAACUUGACUAUUCCGAUCUAAUUGGCAAAAAUAAGACGCAGAUGUGAAGCUGAACAUCUGUUAUUUGGAGGAUGGAAUGCAGAAUUUCCCCACUUAGUUUGGUAAAACAUUCCCCUGUGACAGUCUGUAGAAGUAACGUAGUUUUAGUUCUCCCCCAGUUAAUGAUUAUUUUUUCUGUAAAUGACAUUUCUUUUUACCCACAAAAGCUGAUAAACAUUACAGCACUUAGGAAAUAAGCUUCUCUAAUGUUCAUUAUAAUUCACUGCCGUUGUUUUUGCGGUCUUCAUUUCAAGGGCUAUUUAGGAGCGCCACUUUUAAUUGAUUAUUCUAUAGCCAAUUUGGGGCCGCUGACUUUGGUAGUUCAUUUUAAAAGUAAUUUCAACGCGUUGCUUUUAGUUGUUCAUUUUAGAAGCAAUUCAGGGCCACUGAUGGUGGAGAGUUUUUGUAACAGUGCUUAUUAAUUGAGUGGAACGGAGGAAGCAGGAGGCUGUAACUGGGUUCCUGCUUUCAUACUUUUAGUACACACUGCAGCUUGCAAAGUAAAAACUGUUGCGUACAGAAUACAUUUCAUUUAGACAUACUACUUCCUCAUGACAUGGAACCUUGCACUCUUACCCCUUUUGCUCAAAUUUAUGGUCUGCUUGUGGGUCAGAAUAGCUUGCUGGCUUGCAAAAUGUAAAAUACAUAGAAUAAAUUGGAGCUGUAUGGCCGAAAAUCCAUAUCCCGGUAUUUAGAUUCUGACAGUACCCUGGUAUGUGACGGUAUUGCUUUUUCAGGUAAAGAUUAUUAUUAUUAUAUUAUUAUUUCUUUGACCCCGAAAAGGACCGGCGGCUACCCGAACAGCUGUUCGCUGGCCAACUUGCUGGCCGGCGAGUUAGCUUGUUAGCGUGUUAGCUAGUUAGCUUGUUAUGGCUGCUAGUGUUGCCACCAGAGGCUCGACAGCCUUUGCUAUAAAUCAUUUUCUGAUCUGACAACAGAUUUUCCCCAAAAAACCCUCCAAACACACAGCUUCUCUCUCGUGUAGUCGUGUGCAUCUCUGGUCCCUCGUUGCGCUCUUUUCUGUGUUUUCAUGUAGCAACAGAGUUACUUCUUGUGAGCUGUACCCAGCAUGCAAUUCGUCAGGGUAAUUUUUAUAAAUGUACAAUUAUUAGUGUUACAAAUUGUUUAUGUGUUACAAGCUGUGCUGUGGUGUUUUACCCUGUUAAAGAGUGUUUGAUGUGGGUUAUUCAGUGUUGUUAUAAAGUUAUAACCAUGACUCAAUCUCAACACACGUAAGACAGAUAAGCUCCGAUUGCUGGGAGCUCCUCGAUGAUGUGUUAAAAUAAAUUCUACCACCUACAGCAGAUCAACGUCAGUUAUUAUGGUUUAACACCCGUAUGAGCGGUACAUGAGAAAUUCAUACCGUAUAGAAAUCUUAUACUGGUACACCGCCCAGCCCCAGAAUGUAGCUAGGUAUUUCUUGGCAUAUUGACCUUUACAUCUGUGUAAGUAUCCAAAGGAAUCAAUAGCUGUAAAUGGACACCCCCUUAUAUACCGAGUAUUCCCAUUCAUCUAUUAUUGGAUGUGCUUAUUGGUCGUCAUUCACCUGGCAUUGACAUUGUUCUUCUGCUAGGAUUGUAAUAUGCACAUAUUUGGUAAGAAAGAAGGAGUUAAGCUCACACAGGCACUGGGGUCAGCUAAGGGGUACGCACGCUUUGAGGUAAGAGACCGGACAGAGUUGAAUGUACCUGUAGCUUUGCGCUGAUGCACAUAUCUUACCCUGUUUAAGGACAAAUAAACAAUUCUUUUAAAAAUGCACGCCUGGAUGUCCAAGUGUGCUACAACAUACCAACAAGUAUUUUCAGUCUGGUAGCAUGGGUAUUGGAACACAGUAAAUUAAUACAUUCUGCAGCUACUAAAAAAAACAAAGCAGUACUAAAAUAAAUACAGAUCCAACCAUCAAAUAUAGCUGCUCCAUCAUGCCAUGCGGAUGAUAACAUUAUGUGUGUCUGCAUGUAUUGCAUCAUUGUACUCUACAUCAGGGGUAUUCAAUUCAAAUUCCCAAAAGUCCAGAUUGAGAGAAUUUCCUGGUGCAAAGGUCUGGAACAGGGGGGAAAUUAUCCCCCUAAGAUUUACAGAGCUUCUUUCCUCAGACCUCGACAAGCUGUGAGUUUACAGGUAACAGUUCAGUUAACAUCUUCUUUAAGGCCAGAGAAAUGUCUUCUCCUUUUGUACUGGUCUUAAGACCAACACCCAACAGGUCUUCACAGAACGCUUUGUUCUCCUUGUUGAAGAACCUCACAUGAACUAACAGCUGAGCAAUGUCCGACAGAUCAGAGGACUCAUCUACAGCUUCACACAGCCUGCUUUAUGAAUACUGUACCCAGAUGUGCGAGUAGAUGCGAGUAGAUCCUGGGCUAAUAUGUCAGUUCUCUUUAAAAUUUUAGAUUGAUUUUUUUUUUUUUUACAAAAUUCUUCUUUUAGUUUGCCCUCAAGUAAAGUUUCAGCUACCGCACUCAUGCUCUUCGUGACAACAUCUCCGUCACUGAAUGGCUUCUUAUGUGGACCCAAAAUCCAAGCAACUUUCAUUCAACAAUCAGAUUGAUUGUGUUUUUCGAUCUUUGUGCCAGCGGGCUCAUUCAGCUGUCGUUGUGUGUACAGGACAUUGUGCUCUAAUCGCACGCCAUCCAAGAAAGGAAACACAUUUUGUUUUCCCUCCCACCAAACAUUUUACCUGCCAAAAGCGAAGGUUUCAAAAUAGCACAUAAAUCAUCUGGCACAUCGAUGCCGUUACAUCCUGUGUGUGGAAUAUUCUCUGAGUCUUCAUGUACCUGUUUUAGUAGAGAAUGUGUCAUCCUUUCUUCACACGUUCUAGCAUACAACUGUGAAAAAUAUAUAAAAAAGGAGUGUUGCUGUCACACGUUUGCUUUUAGACGGCUGACAAUGAGUCAAAUCGGAUACUUUCUUCAUGGAGUUGGAGGUGGCAUAUCCAAAUAAAGACACUACGGGGUUAGAUAUGAAUAC
ensembl:lncRNA